CUUGUUCAGACGAACGCUGGCGGCGUGCUAAUACAUGCAAGUCGAGCGCAGGAAACUGACGGAACUCUUCGAGGAAAGGCAGUGGAAUGAGCGGCGGACGGGUGAGUAACACGUAAGGAACCUGCCUCAAGGAUUGGGAUAACUCCGAGAAAUCGGAGCUAAUACCGGAUAGUUCAUCGGACCGCAUGGUCCGUUGAUGAAAGGCGCUUCGGCGUCACCUUGAGAUGGCCUUGCGGUGCAUUAGCUAGUUGGUGGGGUAACGGCCCACCAAGGCGACGAUGCAUAGCCGACCUGAGAGGGUGAUCGGCCACACUGGGACUGAGACACGGCCCAGACUCCUACGGGAGGCAGCAGUAGGGAAUCUUCCACAAUGGACGAAAGUCUGAUGGAGCAACGCCGCGUGAGUGAUGAAGGUUUUCGGAUCGUAAAACUCUGUUGUAAGGGAAGAACACGUACGAGAGGAAAUGCUCGUACCUUGACGGUACCUUACGAGAAAGCCACGGCUAACUACGUGCCAGCAGCCGCGGUAAUACGUAGGUGGCAAGCGUUGUCCGGAAUUAUUGGGCGUAAAGCGCGCGCAGGCGGCCUUUUAAGUCUGAUGUGAAAGCCCCCGGCUCAACCGGGGAGGGCCAUUGGAAACUGGAAGGCUUGAGUACAGAAGAGAAGAGUGGAAUUCCACGUGUAGCGGUGAAAUGCGUAGAGAUGUGGAGGAACACCAGUGGCGAAGGCGACUCUU
rnacentral:rRNA from 1 species